GAUUCUAUAGCUCAGUUGGUUAGAACGUGGUGCUGGUAAUGCCAACGUUGCAGGUUCAAUCCCUGAAUGGGACAGCU